GAGCAGGAGAGAGAGGCACUAGCAGUUAAAUGAUCUGCCUCAUUUGCAAAACAAAUCACCAAACCAUGUUGCUUGAAUAUGAUUUACAUUUUAAGACAGAGUCCAAAGAAAGCAUUCCGGGCUUACUAAAAUGCCUCUUGCCUCUAUUCAAAGUACUCUCUGGCUCCCCCUUAGAACAAAAUUCCCAUAUUCCUAGCCUACACGUUUGCCACAUAAGUGGUGCACACCAGUAAAAGUUUUCAGAAACAAAUUCAAAAUUGCCAAUCAGUUACAAAGACUAUCAGAGCUCUGAGAGGGAGUCUGAUUUUAAAAGGUUUCUUACAUCAUAUUUGCCUGGGAUAUUACAGAUUAAUGUUAGAACUACGGUUGACCUUUGAACAACGUGGGGAUUAGGGGCACCAACCCCCCAGUGCAGUUGAAAAGCUGGGUAUAACUGUUGACUCCCUGAAAACCCUAAUUGCUAACCGGCCUGCUGUCGACCAGAAGCCUUAACAGUAACGGCGACAGUUCUUUAAUACAUAUUUUUUGUGUUGUAUGUGUUAUAUACUGUGUUCUUACAAUAAAGUAAACUAGUGAAAAGAAAAUGUUAAGAAAAUCACAAAAGAGAAAACACAUUGACUGAAAUAUGCUGUUUUAUUGAAAAAAAUCUGUAGGUAAGUGAAUCUGCACAUUUCAAACCUGUAUUUUGUUCAAGGUCAGCUGUAUAUUGGAAUAUAUUAUUUAUGUACCUAAUAUGUUUAUUGGAUUUUUAAAAUUUAAAGUAAGUAUUCUCUGUACCUUCAUUAUUUGACUACAUAUAUUAUGUAUUCUAUGCAUCCACACAGAGCUCACUUCUGUCCAUUUUCUGUGUGGUAAUUUCAGUUUGUCCUUGGGAUUAGUACACAUGAUCUUCCUUCUUAAUGGAAGUAGUCAAGAGGGGACAAGAAGGUUCCCUGGCCUUGCUCUGACAACGCUUUUCUGCAUGAAUUACAUUCCUCCGGGCCACAAGUCUCCAGAUUCUUCCAGCCCAUUUGAUUCCAGCCUGUGUGAUUAGUCCAUCGCUUCGACCUGCCGUGGGUCCCUGCCAAGCAGGGUGCUUACUAAGUGCCUCUAACAUGGAGACCUAAAGACACUUGGUAGCCUCAUUAGUGAGAGGGUGGCACUCCAUUCCAGUUUCGCAACACAGCUGCUGUUGAAGCAUCAUGAGCUUUAAAGUCGCUGAAGGGUGAUCCUAGUCAUUUGGUUUCCUUUCCAUGUGAAUAAGGCUGUUGGAGGAGGGUAGUUCAGGCAGUUCAGGGUAUGACACCCAUGCCCAGUUCAGUAGCAUAAAUCAUCCUGGGCAGGGAGUGGAGGGAGGGGGUUGGGGGGAGCCCAUUAGCUCCAUUUAAGUUGAAUCUGCAUUUUGAAGGAAUUUCAUAUUCAUUUUCAUAAAAUGCAUUUCUGUGUGUUUAGAAAUAAUGAGCAACGGUCAUAAAAAUUAUUCAGAUACCUUAAUCCUAGCCGUGAUAUUUUCUUGUGCAUAUAUGUUAUUUUCUGAAGUAUGGUUAAUGACUGAGACAGAGAUGAGCAAUUACCAGGCUUAUGAAUUAAUGCUUUUUAAACCUCUGUUAAUAAAGAUUAAAUAUUUGGGUAA